AUGUUCCCUGCAUCUCUGCUGCUGCUACUGGCAGCUGCCUCCUGUGUCCACUGUCAGGUCGUACUCACACAGGCUGAACAGACAGUCCAGGGGACCCCCGCAGGAUCCCUUAAACUCUCAUGUGUCUGCAUCUCUGGGUUCACAUUCAGUAGCUAUGGAAUGAGCUGGAUCAGACAAACUAAAGGGAAAAGACUGGAGUGGAUUGCUUAUAGUUAUAGUACUACUACAUACUACUCCGAGUCAGUCCAGGGUAGAUUCACCAUCUCCAGAGAUGACUCCAGCAGUAAGCUGUACCUACAGAUGAACAGCCUCCAGACUGAAGACUUGGCUGUGUAUUAUUGUGCUCGUCUCCCACAGUGA